rnacentral:rRNA from 1 species
UAUGCACGCUGGCGGCGUGCCUAAUACAUGCAAGUCGAGCGAACAGAUAAGGAGCUUGCUCCUUUGACGUUAGCGGCGGACGGGUGAGUAACACGUGGUUAACCUACCUAUAAGACUGGAAUAACUCCGGGAAACCGGGGCUAAUGCCGGAUAACAUGUUGAACCGCAUGGUUCUAUAGUGAAAGACGGCUUUGCUGUCACUUAUAGAUGGACCCGCGCCGUAUUAGCUAGUUGGUGAGGUAACGGCUCACCAAGGCAACGAUACGUAGCCGACCUGAGAGGGUGAUCGGCCACACUGAAACUGAGACACGGUCCAGACUCCUACGGGAGGCAGCAGUAGGGAAUCUUCCGCAAUGGGCGAAAGCGUGACGUAGCAACGCCGCGUGAGUGAUGAAGGUCUUCGGAUCGUAAAACUCUGUUAUUAUGGAAGAACAAAUGCGUAAGUAACUAUGCGCGUCUUGACGGUACCUAAUCAGAAAGCCACGGCUAACUACGUG